CACGUAGGGGGCAAGCGUUGUCCGGAAUCAUUGGGCGUAAAGAGCUCGUAGGCGGCUCAAUAAGUCGAGCGUGAAAGCCCCCGGCUCAACUGGGGAGGGUCACUCGAUACUGAUCGACUUGAAGGCAGGAGAGGGAAGCGGAAUUCCCGGUGUAGUGGUGAAAUGCGUAGAUAUCGGGAGGAACACCAGUGGCGAAGGCGGCCUCCUGGCCUGUUCUUGACGCUGAGGCGCGAAAGCUAGGGGAGCAAACGGG
rnacentral:rRNA from 1 species